rnacentral:ncRNA from 1 species
UGAUCCGCGGCGGGAGAGACCUCCCGGCACCCCGGGCAGGCGCCGUAGGAGCAAACCCUCCCCGGGAAUCUCUCAGGCACCCGUACCGCCGCGGCGAG